rnacentral:rRNA from 1 species
AGGGAAUUUUCCACAAUGGACGAAAGUCUGAUGGAGCAACGCCGCGUGAACGAUGAAGGUCUUCGGAUUGUAAAGUUCUGUUGUCAGGGACGAACAAGUACCGUUCGAACAGGGCGGUACCUUGACGGUACCUGACGAGAAAGCCACGGCUAACUACGUGCCAGCAGCCGCGGUAAUACGUAGGUGGCAAGCGUUGUCCGGAAUUAUUGGGCGUAAAGCGCGCGCAGGCGGCUAUGUAAGUCUGGUGGUAAAGCCCGGGGCUCAACCCCGGUUCGCAUUGGAAACUGCGUAGCUUGAGUGCAGAAGAGGAAAGCGGUAUUCCACGUGUAGCGGUGAAAUGCGUAGAGAUGUGGAGGAACACCAGUGGCGAAGGCGGCUUUCUGGUCUGUAACUGACGCUGAGGCGCGAAAGCGUGGGGAGCAAAC